UAGGAAAAGGGCUGGCACUCUGGUUUGGA
rnacentral:piRNA from 1 species